rnacentral:rRNA from 1 species
AGAGUUUGAUCCUGGCUCAGGAUGAACGCUAGCGACAGGCUUAACACAUGCAAGUCGAGGGGCAGCGGGGAUGAAGCUUGCUUCAUCUGCCGGCGACCGGCGCACGGGUGAGUAACACGUAUGCAACCUGCCCGUAACAGGGGGAUAAUCGGGAGAAAUCCCGUCUAAUACCGCAUAAUACCUUCCGGGGACAUCCCCGUUAGGUCAAAGGAGCGAUCCGGUUACGGAUGGGCAUGCGCCGCAUUAGGUAGUUGGGGGUGUAACGGACCACCAAGCCGACGAUGCGUAGGGGUUCUGAGAGGAAGGUCCCCCACACUGGUACUGAGACACGGACCAGACUCCUACGGGAGGCAGCAGUGAGGAAUAUUGGUCAAUGGGCGGGAGCCUGAACCAGCCAAGUCGCGUGAGGGAAGACGGUCCUACGGAUUGUAAACCUCUUUUGCCGGGGAGCAAGAAAGCCCACGUGUGGGCUACUGAGAGUACCCGGAGAAAAAGCAUCGGCUAACUCCGUGCCAGCAGCCGCGGUAAUACGGAGGAUGCGAGCGUUAUCCGGAUUUAUUGGGUUUAAAGGGUGCGUAGGCGGUAUUUUAAGUUAGUGGUAAAACGUCGGGGCUUCACCUUGAUUGGCCAUUAAAACUGGAGUACUAGAGUACAGACGAGGUAGGCGGAAUAAGUUAAGUAGCGGUGAAAUGCUUAGAUAUAACUUAGAACCCCGAUAGCGAAGGCAGCUUACCAGACUGUUACUGACGCUGAAGCACGAGAGCGUGGGUAGCGAACAGGAUUAGAUACCCUGGUAGUCCACGCCGUAAACGAUGCUCACUGGUUCUGUGCGAUAUACAGUACGGGAUUAAGCGAAAGUAUUAAGUGAGCCACCUGGGGAGUACGUCGGCAACGAUGAAACUCAAAGGAAUUGACGGGGGCCCGCACAAGCGGAGGAACAUGUG